rnacentral:lncRNA from 1 species
AUUUUUUCAUUUCUCACGAAAACUUAACACUUUUCAAGCUGUGUUCUGGAAACCAUAGCAUCCUACCAAGGAUAUGAACAGGAAUUAACCAUUUUGAAACGUGGAAAAACGCAAGUCAGAAAGGCAAAUUUGGAGUGCACAUUUAAGCACCGUGCAAAUAACAGGACACUCUGGCCCAAGAACUCUUCAAGUACUCCCGAAUGGGACACGAAUCCCCACCGUGGAGGUGGGUGCAGCUCUCACUGCCAUAUACCAGGGUCUCUCGGUCCCAGGGCUGUUGACGA